GUACUUGCAGGUUCGGUGAGUCCGGGAUUGGACGCACCUCGGGUGCCAGCCACCCUCGGUGCGUCCAAUCCCGGACUCACCUCCCUGCAAG